rnacentral:rRNA from 1 species
UACGGAGGGUGCAAGCGUUGUUCGGAAUUACUGGGCGUAAAGCGCGUGCAGGUGGUUUUUUAAGUUUCGUGUGAAAUCCCAUGGCUCAACCAUGGAACGGCACGGAAAACUGGAAGGCUUGAGUACGGGAGAAGAGGGCGGAAUUCCCAGUGUAGAGGUGAAAUUCGUAGAUAUUGGGAGGAACACCGGUGGCGAAAGCGGCUCUCUAGACCGAUACUGACGCUCAUACGCGAGAGCGUGGGUAGCAAACAGG